GACGAACGCUGGCGGCGUGCUUAACACAUGCAAGUCGAACGCUGAACCCGCUUCGGUGGGGGAUGAGUGGCGAACGGGUGAGUAACACGUGGGCAACCUGCCCCCGGCUCUGGGAUAACUCCAAGAAAUUGGGGCUAAUACCGGAUGUGACCGCUGGCCGCAUGGUCUGGUGGUGGAAAGGGUUUCCGGCUGGGGAUGGGCCCGCGGCCUAUCAGCUUGUUGGUGGGGUAGUGGCCUACCAAGGCGACGACGGGUAGCCGGCCUGAGAGGGUGACCGGCCACACGGGUACUGAGACAGGGCCCAGACUCCUACGGGAGGCAGCAGUGGGGAAUAUUGCGCAAUGGGCCGAAGCCUGACGCAGCGACGCCGCGUGGGGGAUGACGGCCUUCGGGUUGUAAACCUCUUUCAGCAGGGACGAAGCGCAAGUGACGGUACCUGCAGAAGAAGCACCGGCCAACUACGUG
rnacentral:rRNA from 1 species